AGAACUAUACUUAAGCUCCACUACAAAAGGAGUAAAAAAUGACUUAGUGAUUAUCUCAAUCAGAGUUGUUUUUUUUGAGAGCUAUGUAACAAAGCAAGAAGUUUUGGCCCUUGUUCUGCAUAAAACACAGAGCAGGGGCUAAUCUUUUUUAUCUACGGUUAUUUCUUGACCAAUCUCUAUGAUCUUUAAUAUCAGUUGCUCUGGUACAUAUGUAUCAAUGGUAUCCUCCGCUGUGGAAAAUAAAACCU